AGGGUUUCUCUACCCGCCCGCGUGUACCCGCCUGCGCAGCGCUUGCGUCCUUUGCACGCCGCCAGCCCCGCCUCCCACCUCUCCACGAAAUUAGGCAAUCUAUCAAUCAGUCCUCCGCUUUCGUUUCCCUUUGGCCCUCUCGAUACGGCGCUCUGGUUCGGCGGGGGGAGUGAGCUCGAGGGCUAUGUUUUCGCUCGUCGCUGUUACUUGGUGGCGGAGCUAGGGUUUGCUCGCCGGCAGUAGCUGGUGGAGCUUGGGUUCGUGGCGUCGGCGGCGGCGGCGGAGCAGCGACCUUGCGAAUCCGGUGGAGGGACGCCUGAUCCUACCUCGCCGCUGCCUUGGUCCGCGAGCUGGACGCCGGAUCCCACCUCGCCGCUGUCACCCUCCACGAACGUGAUGCCGGAUCCCACCUCGCCGCCGUCACCCUCCGCGAGCAGGAUGUCGGAUCCCACCCCGCCGCCACCACCCGCCGGCCUCCGCGAGUGCGAUGCUGGUUCCCACCCCGCUGCCGCCGGCCUCCAUGAGCGAGAUGACGGAUCUGUUGCUCCUUGUCCCCGUCCUCCCCGUUGCGUCUGCCAUCCUCCUCGCCGUGGAUAUCUAGCAGCUACUCGCAGUGACCUUUUCCCUCUUCCCCUCUCCUCUUUAUCUUAUCUAGGUUUCAAUUUUAGUGUUUCGUCUCACGGAUUUAAAUCAGAGAUGUUACCAUCGAGAAAGGGGGAGGCUGAAGCUUGAGCUAGGGUUCUAUUUCUUCUUGGGAUCUCAAUGUUUCUCCUGAUAGGUGGAACUGAUCUUGACUAUAGGAAGGCAACCCAUUGAUUUUUAUGUAGGAGUAGAUAAUUUACUUGUAAGGCACCUGAUUUGCAAUUGUUCAACAGCCUAUUUUCUGAAGUUGUAAUUUGUCCAUGCAGUGUUUCCUUUCCUUGCUAUACUUUGUUUGUGCUAUGAAAUCAGAACUAUUAUUUUGUUAGAAUAGGAUCUUCUUCAGUUAGAUUAUGGCCACUCUAUAAAUCUAGAUUGUCAAACAUCAUCUUCUCUAUUACAGGUAGGAUGGUUGAGGCUCUGUCAACAUGCAGUUGAGGUAUUCUGACCGCAAGAUAUAUGCUACCAAUGGCACCUUGUUAUGUUUGGGGUCGAAAUAUGCUAGGUGCAGAGGGAGGCAAAGGACAAGUUCAAAGCCGGUGGAUAUACAUCAGACAACAAGAAGUAGCCUUGUAUGCUCAAGGAUGUUGCGCUUGAGGACACGUUGGAUGACAUAAUUGGGGGCUUUCAGGAUCACAUUGAAGCAAGCAUGUAUGAAAUACGCCAGGAGUUCAAACAAGGGGAGGAGAAUUCUGACUAGAAGGGGACCAAGUAUUGAUUGUGAAAAUAUGGAUGGAGAUCUAAUUCUGAAUUGCCCGUUAAUGGUCGGAAUUGACCAAAUGAUUGUCACUUUUUGUAGCGAAUGUCUCAUCCCUUCAUUGUUACUCUAAUUAAAUGUCCAUGUAUUUCAUUAAUUCUAGCCAUAUUUGAUUUGAUUUGAUUCACUAAUUCAUUCGCUAAUAUGAAAGGAAAUAUAAAGAUUCGUUCACUAA